GUCUGCUCUUCCGAUCUGUUUAGAUGACCUUAUGUCCUAAGUAGGACAAACUUCAAAGUUUACAUUGCUUGAAAAAAAAAAGUUUGAAGUUUGAGUGUGGGAACAACAUGCUCGCUAUUUUCAUGCCGUAACUAAGGCAUCUGGGAGCCGUGCUUUCUGUGCAUUUCAUACAGAAUUGACCUUGAUCAAUGCCUACUCAGGAGCUAUGCACAACAUCCAGGAAAUGGUGGCAGCUGAUCCGGGCAGUUCUUGGUUUGCUGAAAUGGAGGCUCCCACGCCACGUUAGCUGAGUGACCUGUUCGAGGUCUCGUAUGAGAGAGAAUCUUCUACCUUUGUGUCUGUCACAGACUUUCUAACAACAUCUCACGCACACAUGGUAUUUUUUUCAUCCUUUUUCUCACAGUGGCACUUUGGUACUUCUUCAGCAUCGAGGUAUAACCAUGGAUAUGUAUCAUCAACAGAAUUCUAAACUGACUUGGCAUCAUGUCUUUUGGUACCAAACGGCAUGGUUUUUUUUUUUGUUUUUUUGGUGCUUCAUCAGAUCCUGUCUUAAAAAUUUGUCUUUGAAAAUACACAACUGACAUGAGCCUGUUAGGAAAGUAGAAGAGAGUGGGUGAAAAAUGGCACCUUUGCUAAAAGAAAAUAUUAGCCUCAUGACCGGUGGCUUGCUCCACAGGAGAGGCUGGGGACCUUGUGACUGCAUGCAGCAGGUGUCCCAGCCCCACUGCCACGUACGUUUACGAGGGACAGGGUUUCACAGUUCCUUGAAAAACUCAAGCCUAGGGAAGGAACUUGCGAGCAGGCUCAGAUAGUGCCACUUUUUCUUAAAAUAUUUUUGCCUCAUUAUUUGCUUCAGAAAGUGAAAGCACCGAGGCUAAAUGUUCUGUUAAGUGUUGGUUAGUCCUCGAUGUUUCACAACACCUUCUUCCCAUUCCUACGUUGGUCGCGCGCCUGAUGUCGUCUUGCCCCGAAUUACACACCUCGUGCAUGUGAUUAAUUCGCCGUGGGAUGCCCGUGGCUUUUUGAACUCCUCUUUCCAGUUUUUCCCCUCAGAGAACACCGUGGCUGUGGUUAAUGAGAUGAUAAACGGGACCGAGACGAAACAAAGGCUAAAAAAGCAUUUAACAGGUCAAGCAUCUGAAGCUUUUAAGAAGAAGAAACAAGAAACCCAAACGAAGCCAAAGCAGUCUUGAAGCACACCCAUCAAAACCCAAGUUUCAGAAUUCCCUGUAGCUUGGUUUGCCAAGUCACUGCAAACUUGAAAAGGCUUUUGUGACAUAAGAAAUCAUGGUGUCUGAGAGAAGUAGAAUUUCUCUUUUUGAGGAGAAAAGUACAACAAAGGGAAAUGUUUUAUUUGGAGCUAUUUUACUUAUAGUAAAUAUGUGGCUUGCCCUUUCUGUAGGGCAAAAGUUUGGUUGGGGGUGUUUUGAAGGCAGAGUAAAGGGAGAUGUUAAAAUGUCCAUGCUGCAUACUAUGCAGUGUGACUACACAUGGGAGAACAUUGUAGAAUCCACACGAUUGAAAAAAAGCGGGUGAUUUAGGAAAUACUUCUGUCCAUUCCUUGGCACUCCCGUGUGUCUCUUCCUCUGCCCUCUCCUGCCACUCCCCGUUAUGAAUCUGGAUUGGCUCUUUGAAGAAAUGGAGUGAAAUCUAAUUAUCCAGGGAAGCCUCACUUCAUAUGCCACGAGACUAGUCUUUCUGGUCAGCAAAUCUCAGCUGAGUAUAUCUGCAGUCCAAAAAAUCCUUCUACUGGGUAGAAAUAUCAAAGAAUGGUAUUUAAUAAUGCUUAGAGUUUUGUUUUUUACAGAGCUUUAUUUAUGCUCUGUACAUUUCAGCCUAACUUCACAUUUCUAGAUUUUCUAUUUGAGAAUAACUCUCAGGGAAGUUGUUAGCAGAAACUCCUGUGUCGACAUAGGCCCAUUUUCCUUUCCUUUAAGGUUGUCCCCACCAGAGGUCUUUUGAUAGGACUUGAAUGGGGUUUUCCUGAGCAUUUGGGGGGUAACGAGAAAUCUGUGCUCUCUGAAAAAGUGUUGGCUUUUCAGUUUAUAUCAUUUCCUGAAACUUUUAGAUGCUACGUGGAGAAGUGACUUUCUUCCAGGGUUAGGUAAAAUCCUUCCUUUCUGGUUGAGGUUGGCACUCCAGUCUUGCUGCCUAAUCUGCUCAUUUCCUUCUUCAGCAAUGGGAGGCCCUAUAUCACCUUUUACUAGGCACCCUGAGGGUCAUGUCAGAAAACAGCAGACUGCAAAAACAUCCCCUCAUGAGAACAAAUUGCCAAGUCCUUUCCAGGCCAGCGAAGAGGUCACAUUCAUAUGUGUUGGGGAGCAGACGUGUCCUUGCAUACCUGCUGGCCAGUGCCAGUUCAUCUCAUGGUGUACCAUAUUUCUUCCCUUUCUGGGGAGUUGUUCUUCUUAGACUAGGGGCUCCCUCAGAGUUGUUGGAUUUUCCCAGGAGAUGCUAUGAAGGGUCGUCAUAAAGAAAGCAAGCCAGGUCUUGGUUUAAAGCUUUCAUUAAGUAGGUUUAAAGAUGUAUCUCUGUUGUUUUCUUCCUACGUAUGGAUUUCUGUGUGGUUGAUAAUACGGUUGUGUACAUUUAUUCAUCUAAUUUUUUAUUAUUUGUUCGUGUUAUGUAUACAGCAUGUAUACAUGUGUGUGCUAUGUAUGUGUAUUCAUGAAAGACCUUGGAGAAGAUUGAUAGGCUUACUUUAUGGUAGUCUCUGAGCAGUAACAAGUGACCGGUGGGAAGGCGGCAACAGGUGAGCCGGCAUGAGGUGGGGAACUCGCCCUUUAAGAAUUGAUAUGUCCCUGGUAAGCCAGACUAGACCCUGUCUUCUUUCCACAGCUGGUUCCUGAAAUGGUUCACCCUACAUUUCAGCUGG